rnacentral:lncRNA from 1 species
GGUUACUUUAAAUUUGUUACACUCAAACAUUAUAACAUCAACAAGAAUUUUAAAAAACCAUCCAGACACGCAGCACUCUAAUAAAUCACCUUCCUCAGUUUUCUACCUCCUUUGUGUUCUGUUUACAUGUAAACCCUGGACCUAGUUUCAUCAUAACAGAUGCUGCUUUGUAUGUAGCUUCCCUUCACCUAACUUUUCAGGAAGCACUUUUCUGUAUGGCUAAUUUUUAAAUUAUCAUUUGAGUGGCCACAUCCACACAUGUUAGAUGUUGAACUGUUAAUGUUUCCAGUUACGUCUUUAAACAACUCUAAAUGUGGUAACUACCUCGUUGCUAGGAGACAAGCUCGCCCUCAUCCCCAGCCAUGAGUGUUGACAAGCAUUGGCCACAUGCAAACAAACAAAGACCAAGCAGAGAGCUGAUCCCAGGAUAUUAGCAGGGCUUUUGGCCACAUGGGGAGUCAGUAUGCAUCCCCCACUUCCUUGGCCAGAAUCUAGGCAGACGUGGGGAGUUUUCUUCACACUUAACUGAGGGUCCAAAAACAACAGAGAAAGAAGCUGGGGACCAUGGCGGUGACACCUUCGUUCCUGGGGGCAGUGCAGGUCCGCUGUGUUACACAGAAACCUGGUAUGGACUCUUCUCCCUUCUGACCACAGCCGAGACUCAGAGGGACCUGCGUGUCUCUAGGAGGGAUUAUCAGUGGACAUCUCUGAAUCUCUCCAUCUGGACCCUCAGUCAGACUUCUGGAAGACCGGUGAGUCUCCUCUGGCUAGUGGAAAAGCACAGUGAUUUCAGCCUGCAGAAAUGAAAGUCUGGGCAACCAGCAAACUACUAUUUACCCUUAAAAAAACACACUUUUUAAAAAAAUCAGUCCAUUUCCUCAUCAAACACAAACACAGGGAACUACACAGUAACAAGAAAAACAAAAGGGGGACAAAAAGGGGUCUCCGCUGAUUCCUAUGCUUAUGCUGAGUGUCCCUCAGCCUUCCCUUCACAGGGGCUUCACUCUUAUUUUAAGACGGGUCGCAGUGUUUGAAAAGCUCAACAAUUUGCCACUUCGUUAGUCGGUUACCGGAAGCUACAAUGUACUCGAUUCGCCUGUCCUCAGUCUGUCUUGGUUCUCAGAAGAUCCUGUCUCUGGUCAGCUCCGUUCUUCUGGGUCACACUGCAUCCUGAUCUGGGGCUGCUCCAUCCUGUGAGGCCCCCCUCCAGUCCUGAAGCAGCCUGAACUACCCCCCCUUCUCCUGCCUUCUACAGCAGCCACAGUGGUAUCACUCCCAGCUGUUCCUGAGCUGGUUCCCAAGCUCAAGGCUAAGUGGCUCCGCCCGGAUCAGCAACCUUGCCAUGAACAGGUCAGACUGUGUUCAAACACCACCAAUGUAGAUUUAAUGCAAUCAGCCACUUACCCAACAGUUCCAAAUUAAAUGCAGACGCACUCAACACGUCUGCUAAGUCUUAUAAGGGAGGGAAUACUAUUUGCCAAACUUCAAAAAAGUUUUCAUUAAGAGAUUUCAUUACAGAUAGUCUGUUGAGAAUGGUAGACAUCUUUAAGGUUACCAAUGGUAACUCCAAAAAACUAAAUUUUAAUUAAAAGCUUAAAAACUAAGUUCAGUCAGCUUUCCCCCGACCUUAUUUUCCCUGACUACUCUGUGGCGGUUGAUGGCUUCUCUGUCCAUCCUUCAUCUCUACAUUGGUACUCACAACACUGGAUGAGUUUCCCUCUCUUCCCUGCAUGGCGCCUUCCCUGUUCCCUUCACGGUUCAUUUACUCCAAACGCCUGCAAUUAUCACCCACUCGUGGUUCCUGGGUAUCAGCUGGAAGUUGCAAGUAAUAGAAACCUAACUUGAACCAGCAUAAAAAUGCAAAAGAUACAGGUUUCCUCUGCUACCUGAAAGUAGGGCAUUCCCGAGAACCCUUUCAUAAAGUGAAGAACAAUUACCAUUAAUUUAUAUGGGGAAGGUUUUUGAGCGUUCACAGACCCAAAAAAUUACCCCCGAAUUCAUACCAAAUAACACACAAAACCUAAAAUAACGCUAACACGUAGUAAAAGCAGGAAUGAUAGGAGAAAUACCCAGCCUGUAUAAGGUAGAAAUCAUGUAUGUACUGUGUAGUUUCACUUACCAGAAUCGGGAAGACGUGGAACACACGGGAAGGCUGAGAGGUGGUGGUGGUGGUGGUGACAGUGAGGGGUCAGGCUGAGUCGUCGGAGGACGGGGCGGUGGGAGGUACAGGAGGUACAGGCGGUGGGGCGUAGGAGAGAGAGGGAGAGAGUCGUCUGUUACCAUCUCAUCGUCAGCUGAAUCCAUCAGGGCAGGCAGCUCCCUGACAUCUAUACCUUCUGACUCUGUCACCUCCAUGUCCAGGGUCGAGGUUCGCUGUCUGAUAUGGAAGGCUUGAAACAUGACUACGCUUGACUGCUUAGCCUCCAUAACUGGCUCGCUGAGAAACAAAUGCUGAACACUGUUCUCACAUUUCAUCUUCUUCGUAGAAGCAAAAUUCCUCUUCGGAUUUCUUUCAGUUAGGGAAAACAGGUACAAUGUAGGUCUUUCUUCACAGCGAAGUGGUCUAAAGUGAACUUCUGGAUAGAGGGAGAAACCAGUAUUUAAUUUAAGGAUCCUAGGCAAGAAUGAAGCUGAGCCUUAGGAACACUGAGCAUCAGGGACUCAAAACAUGUGGGCUUUUUAUCUAUUCUGUUUUCUUUUUCUGUGUCCAUGUCAUUUUCCUUUGUGCAGACUGAAUUUACAUCUCGUUUGUUACAGAGAGCAGGAACUCUGGGCUGUAAUGUCUUGGUCUCAAUUUCAGAUCUCUAAGAAAUGAUAUUGAUUGGCUCAGUGUAGGCUUAGGUCUUGAAUAAAUCAAUUUUGACUGGGGAUACA